rnacentral:rRNA from 1 species
UUCCGUUGGUGAACCUGCGGAGGGAUCAUUACACAAAUAUGAAGGCGGGCUGGAACCUCUCGGGGUUACAGCCUUGCUGAAUUAUUCACCCUUGUCUUUUGCGUACUUCUUGUUUCCUUGGUGGGUUCGCCCACCACUAGGACAAACAUAAACCUUUUGUAAUUGCAAUCAGCGUCAGUAACAAAUUAAUAAUUACAACUUUCAACAACGGAUCUCUUGGUUCUGGCAUCGAUGAAGAACGCAGCGAAAUGCGAUAAGUAGUGUGAAUUGCAGAAUUCAGUGAAUCAUCGAAUCUUUGAACGCACAUUGCGCCCUUUGGUAUUCCAAAGGGCAUGCCUGUUCGAGCGUCAUUUGUACCCUCAAGCUUUGCUUGGUGUUGGGCGUCUUGUCUCUAGCUUUGCUGGAGACUCGCCUUAAAGUAAUUGGCAGCCGGCCUACUGGUUUCGGAGCGCAGCACAAGUCGCACUCUCUAUCAGCAAAGGUCUAGCAUCCAUUAAGCCUUUUUUUCAACUUUGACCUCGAUCAAGUAGGUUCCAUUCCCCCCCGCCU